GUGAUGGGAACACUUCAGGCUCAAUUUAGGAAAGUGAAUGCUUGAAUAAGCACAGGCUUCCUCUAAGCACCUCCUAAAUGCCCUGCAAAUAUGCACCUUUGUAACGAUUCCUUCUCUGCAAUGAUCCCAGAAUGGGCAGUAAAUUGCAUGAAGGUGAAGGAAAAAUGAGUUGAAAGCAAGCCAAGGAGGAGCAGAGGAGCAAGGCAAGUAUCACGAAGAUGAGGGACCCAUGGGAACUGGUAACACCAAGGAGAAGGUAAAGAAGCAGCAGAUUUAUGACCAGCUGGUGAGAAGGCAGGUGGAGCAUGGUCUGGGAAGCUUCUGGAGGAGUGUCCUGUGGGUUAUAAAUGAAGGUGAGGGAGAUGGGAGACCUGGGCAGAAAACGGGGGUAACAGAAGCCAGUGGGGCUACUUGGAGUGAAGGUCAGUGAUGGGCUUGCAGCUGGAACCUUUUUCUCCAGCAUACAAAAUCCAUCAGUGCCACCAUACUUUGUAAACAUUUCUUGGCUUUGCCAAGUUGUUCAUAUCAGAAGCGAAGCAAAGAAGCUAAGAAGAAAAAAAGUUUUCUCAGUAUUUUAAAAUGAAACAUUAGUUCCAAAUGUCUACCCUUGGAUGCUCCCUUCACUCGUUAAAAAGAAAGAGAGAGAGAGAGAGAAAUGUUCAUGCAAAGCAAAAUCUGUUCCUUGUUGAUUCAAUGUUUCAUUAUUAUAGAAAUAUUUUGCUAUUUUUUGGAAAUAUUAAGACUAUUCUGGUCUCUUUAUUUUGGAUUCAGGCACUGCCAGCAAGGCAAGAGGAAAUGUUAAGGCCUUCAGUUAUUUGCCUUCUGGAAAUACCCCCUUAGUCUGAGGCUGGGCCUAAAAGCAAAAAUUCUGGGAUGGGGCUUUGGGGGUGGGUGGUUUGGUAGUCUGGAUAAAACGUGGUACGUAUGGGUUCAAAAUGGGGUUGAACCUGAGGGUGGUCAGGCACGGAGACAACGCUUGUGGCUCAGGCAGGGUGUCAGCUGCAGGCCUGGAGGCCAGGAGGAAUUUGUGGGAAGCAUUGCUGUGUGUGUGUCCUAUUUUUAUACUUCUCCUGAGUCAUCUGUAUUCCCAGUGCUGGAGAGUGUACUGGAUUAGAUGCACUUUCGGUCUGACCAAGAGGUCACACUCACAUUCUUGUUUCAAGCUUUUAUGAAGACAGAGGAAACAGGUAGGGAAUGACAAGUAACCCAGGCAGUCUUUCUACUUGUGCAGUUUAUUUUUCCACACACACACACUCUUCUGCCUUGAGCAUCUUUCCAGUGAAGGCAUUAAGCCAGUUUAUGAGGUGAGUGAGACUGGUGAGAAUAUUAGAAUGGUGCAAUUAGAGUUAAUUAGAUGUGCUGAAAUGAAGUAAUGAAUCUGGAUUUCCAACACCCACAUAAGCACACCACAGAUGAAAAGAAAAGGGAGAAAUCCUGUGAUAAGGAGUUUUGAGAGGCAUCAUUAAGAUAUACCGACUACUGAGCCUUUUCAGGCAGAAUGGGUUCAACAUGUAAUGCAGGUAAGCAAAACACUGGGUAAUUUAGACUAGAAGGAGCUUCUGGAGGUCCACCCUCCAGGCACAAAGCAGGGCCAGCUGAAGAAGGUUGCUCAGGGCUACACCUGGUCAAGUUCUGAAUUUAUCUCCAGAGGUGGAGUUUCCUCACUUCUCUUAACAUCUAUUUCAGCGUUUGACCACCAACAUGAUGAGAAAAAUAACCUAGCAAGAGAAAGAAAAUGAGAUACAAGCAAGAUGCUGGUGCUAUGGUAUGCAAUCUAUGGUGCUGAGGAUCCCAGAUCUAUGGCAGUCACUCUGAAUGACGUCCCCUUUGUCACCAUGUGGUAUGUUCCUGGAGCACAUCUUACUGUCUGGUUUUGUCUUAAAAAGUCUGCUUUGCAGGCUCCUAAAGCUCUGUGAGAGGAGCAGCUGGGGAAUUUUUCAAAUGUGGACUCCUGCCUUGGAUUAACAUCCCAGUGUGCAUGUUCAACAUCGGCUGUACUAUCCCCUCCGAGGCAGUGUUACUCAACACACGCUUUAUAGCUGAGCAAAUUCCUGAGUGCUUUUUAGGGCUAGGCCUGCAGGGGCUUGUAAAUCUUCCCUUGGACUCUCAUUAGCGCUUCCCUCUCUGCCCUUGUUUGCUCCCACAGGGGCCAUGACAAGAAGGCCGUGUGAGAUAAGCAGUACACACUGGGACACUCUGCUGCAGCUUUUCGUGAGAGCAGCUCCACACAGCAGCUCACUGAGUUCAGAUGAAGGCAAUGAAGGGUGUCUGAAGACUAUUUAUUUUUUAAUUUUAUUUUUAAUAAUUAUUUUUAGUUCCAUGGCUCAGCUGUUUCUCCUGGGAAGAGUAAGCCUCUGUGUGAGAUUACAUCAGCUGAACUUUCCAAAUGAUAUUUUAAUAACACUUUACAAUAAAAAAAAAAAAAAAAAAAAA